UACGGAGGGUGCGAGCGUUGUUCGGAUUCAUUGGGCGUAAAGGGUGCGUAGGCGGCGCGGUAAGUCGGGUGUGAAAUCUCGGAGCUUAACUCCGAAACUGCAUUCGAUACUGCCGUGCUCGAGGACUGGAGAGGAGACUGGAAUUUACGGUGUAGCGGUGAAAUGCGUAGAUAUCAGGAGGAACACCGAUGGCGAAGGCAGGUCUCUGGGCCAUAACUGACGCUGAGAAGCGAAAGCAUGGGGAGCGAACAGG
rnacentral:rRNA from 1 species